GAUGAACGCUGGCGGCGUGCCUAAUACAUGCAAGUCGAGCGAAUGGAUUGAGAGCUUGCUCUUAUGAAGUUAGCGGCGGACGGGUGAGUAACACGUGGGUAACCUGCCCAUAAGACUGGGAUAACUCCGGGAAACCGGGGCUAAUACCGGAUAACAUUUUGAACCGAAUGGUUCGAAAUUGAAAGGCGGCUUCGGCUGUUACUUAUGGAUGGACCCGCGUCGGAUUAGCAAGGUGGUGAGGUAACGGCCCACCAAGGCAACGAUGCGUAGCCGACCUGAGAGGGUGAUCGGCCACACUGGGACUGAGACACGGCCCAGACUCCUACGGGAGGCAGCAGUAGGGAAUCUUCCGCAAUGGACGAAGGUCUGACGGAGCAACGCCGCGUGAGUGAUGAAGGCUUUCGGGUCGUAAAACUCUGUUGUUAGGGAAGAACAAGUGCUAGUUGAAUAAGCUGGCACCUUGACGGUACCUAACCAGAAAGCCACGGCUAACUACGUGCCAGCCGCCGCGGUAA
rnacentral:rRNA from 1 species